AUGAGGUUAAGUUAGGUAGACUGUAUGUUUUCAAAACAUUUAGCGGUGUAAACCACUUCAUG
rnacentral:tRNA from 1 species